AUUAUAUAUAAUGUCAUUGGAGCCUCUGGCAGCAAUCAUAAGGAAGAAAGAGGCAGUCAGAGGAUUUAUUUGUGAUCAUAUCCAAUAUAAGUUAAAUUUAUAUGCAGAUGAUGUCAUUUUAACACUACAAGAUCCAUGUAAUUCUAUGAAGGCAGUGAUGAAUAUUUAGGAUAAUUUUGCAAAAAUAUCGGGUUAGAAAUUGAAUAUAGGAAAGUCAAUAGCGUUAGGGAGUAAU